rnacentral:tRNA from 1 species
AAUAAGAUGGCUGAUUUUAGGUUAUAAAUUGUAAAUUUAUAUAUGAAUUAAUAAUUCUCUUGUUA